CUCAGGACUCCGGGCCCGCCAUCUUCCCGCAUGCGCAGUGCGCCGCCCCCAGUGCGCAUGCCUGCCGCCGCCGCCGCCGCGCUCCCGGGCCGUCACCCGCUCCCGGGGCCGGAGCGCCGGAAAGCCCGGAUGCGAAAUCCACGGAGAGGAUGGCAAAGGGGAGGAAGAGGUGGAGCAGGAAUUUCAGCAGACGGGAACGGGGUCGGAGAGAAGAGCCCGCAGAUAUCCUGGGGGGCACAGGAGGUACCCACUGGAGUUUGGCACAGACUCAAUUUCAUAUUCCAACGGAGGAAACAGAUUAAGAAACAGAACAUUGAAAACAUUUAAAGUGUCAAGCUGGAGCCAUAAAAUGUGUUUUCAAAUACCGGCUUCUCUCCUUAUUAAAUUUACAAAACCUUAAA